CCUACGGGAGGCAGCAGUGGGGAAUCUUGCGCAAUGGGCGAAAGCCUGACGCAGCCAUGCCGCGUGAAUGAUGAAGGUCUUAGGAUUGUAAAAUUCUUUCACCGGGGACGAUAAUGACGGUACCCGGAGAAGAAGCCCCGGCUAACUUCGUGCCAGCAGCCGCGGUAAUACGAAGGGGGCUAGCGUUGCUCGGAAUUACUGGGCGUAAAGGGAGCGUAGGCGGACAUUUAAGUCAGGGGUGAAAUCCCAGAGCUCAACUCUGGAACUGCCUUUGAUACUGGGUGUCUUGAGUGUGAUAGAGGUAUGUGGAACUCCGAGUGUAGAGGUGAAAUUCGUAGAUAUUCGGAAGAACACCAGUGGCGAAGGCGACAUACUGGAUCAUUACUGACGCUGAGGCUCGAAAGCGUGGGGAGCAAACAGGAUUAGAUACCCUGGUAGUCCACGCCGUAAACGAUGAUUGCUAGUUGUCGGGGUGUUUACAUCUCGGUGACGCAGCUAACGCAUUAAGCAAUCCGCCUGGGGAGUACGGUCGCAAGAUUAAAACUCAAAGGAAUUGACGGCUGAGAGNGCGAGCGACACGAGGGAGAG
rnacentral:rRNA from 1 species